rnacentral:rRNA from 1 species
CGAGGGGCAUCGGGAGGGAAGCUUGCUUUCCUUGCCGGCGACCGGCGCACGGGUGAGUAACACGUAUGCAACCUGCCCUCUUCAGGGGGACAACCUUCCGAAAGGGAGGCUAAUCCCGCGUAUAUCGGUUUCGGGCAUCCGUUAUCGAGGAAAGAUUCAUCGGAAGAGGAUGGGCAUGCGGCGCAUUAGCUUGACGGCGGGGUAACGGCCCACCGUGGCGACGAUGCGUAGGGGUUCUGAGAGGAAGGUCCCCCACACUGGUACUGAGACACGGACCAGACUCCUACGGGAGGCAGCAGUGAGGAAUAUUGGUCAAUGGGAGAGAUCCUGAACCAGCCAAGCCGCGUGAGGGAAGACGGCCCUAUGGGUUGUAAACCUCUUUUGUCGGAGAACAAAACCCGGGACGAGUCCCGGACUGCGUGUAUCCGAAGAAAAAGCAUCGGCUAACUCCGUGCCAGCAGCCGCGGUAAUACGGAGGAUGCGAGCGUUAUCCGGAUUUAUUGGGUUUAAAGGGUGCGUAGGCGGUCCGUUAAGUCAGCGGUAAAAUUGCGGGGCUCAACCCCGUCGAGCCGUUGAAACUGGCAGACUUGAGUUGGCGAGAAGUACGCGGAAUGCGCGGUGUAGCGGUGAAAUGCAUAGAUAUCGCGCAGAACUCCGAUUGCGAAGGCAGCGUACCGGCG